GCGCGGCGCGAAGUAGACUUAUCAGCUUCCCAAGCUGAAUGUCGUCGGUUCGAUCCCGAUCGCCCGCUCCA
rnacentral:tRNA from 1 species